GACUGAGUUUUCCCCUGACGGGAGCGAGCAGGGCUGGAGCACCGGACGCGCACAGCAGGUUGCAACUGGAUCAGCUCAAAGAGGUGAGAUGGCUGACAAUUAAGAAAACAGAGUUCAGUGAGGAAGAGACGGCUUGGUCUUCAACAGGAUGCCAGGAUCACAUUUUUAACACACCGUUUAAAGCUGAGUGAACAUCCAGCAUACCACACAGAGAUGGAGAAUGACAGCACGCUCUCGAUGGUCGCCCGGUAGAAGGACACCAGCAGCUUCUUGUUCAGUCUGUUCCUCCGAAGCACCCUCAUGAAGUGCAGUCGCUGCUGGGCCUUUUUAACUGCUGCAGUGGUGUGUGCAGCUGAGGCUCUCCGAAAUUUGAACCCUCAGGAACUUAAAGUCUUGACCCCUUGAUGCAUCUCUUGAAGACAAGUUACUGGGCAAACACCAAACUGCAAGAUGAAAACUAUUGUCAUUGAUUGGAUGCCACAUCUCUGCCUGUUUGCAGAGACAACUCCCCAGAAGAAGAAAUAACCUGCAGUUACGGGGAUGCUGACUGGCCUUUGCGCAAACAGUUCCAGGUGACAAACGGGCAGACUAAUCCAGAGGGAGUUGAGGAGGAGAGGCUCCCCUUAGACUUGACUUUCCCCGAAACAUCAACAAGUGACUGUGCUACUACCGAGUUCCAGGUGACAAACGGGCAGACUAAUCCAGGGAAGGAGUUGAGGACGAGACGCUCUCCUUGGAACUUUAUGUCUACAUAAGCAUCAAACAGUGACUGUGCUACUAUCGAGGGAAACAAACGUUUGUGAAACGCAGCUGGACGUCAGCAGAAAGUGCUGCUGUGGAACAACACUUGGGUUACGAAAUGGACAAUCAAGAACCAGGUUCCAGGGAAAGAUGCAUGUGAGGAUUGUAUCUCUGCCGAACCUCAAGCCCUAACAAAUAGGGACUGGGGAGCCGUUAUUACAUGAACAUUUCAAUUUCUUCUCUCCGAAUGUAAAUGAAAUAAAAUUGAACCAAGGAAAAAUACGUUCAAUGUUGAAAGAAGGAUUUCAAGUACCACUACCAAAACUAGGGGCUUUACCUAAACCAAACCAAAUGUUCAUCUUUGAAUCGUCAACUAAUAUAAA